rnacentral:rRNA from 1 species
UGGGGAAUAUUGCACAAUGGGGGAAACCCUGAUGCAGCGACGCCGCGUGAGUGAGGAAGUAUUUCGGUAUGUAAAGCUCUAUCAGCAAGGAAGAAAAUGACGGUACUUGACUAAGAAGCCCCGGCUAACUACGUGCCAGCAGCCGCGGUAAUACGUAGGGGGCAAGCGUUAUCCGGAUUUACUGGGUGUAAAGGGAGCGUAGACGGUUUAACAAGUCAGAAGUGAAAGCCCAGGGCUUAACCUUGGGACUGCUUUUGAAACUGUCGGACUAGAGUGCAGGAGAGGUAAGCGGAAUUCCUAGUGUAGCGGUGAAAUGCGUAGAUAUUAGGAGGAACACCAGUGGCGAAGGCGGCUUACUGGACUGUAACUGACGUUGAGGCUCGAAAGCGUGGGGAGCAAACAGG